GACGGAGGGCGCAAGCGUUGUUCGGAAUCACUGGGCGUAAAGCGCGGGUAGGCGGCUCUGCAAGUCGGGUGUGAAAUCCCGAGGCUCAACCUCGGAACUGCACUCGAUACUGCUUGGCUCGAGUCCCGGAGAGGGUGGCGGAAUUCCCGGUGUAGGGGUGAAAUCCGUAGAUAUCGGGAGGAACACCAGUGGCGAAGGCGGCCACCUGGACGGUGACUGACGCUGAGACGCGAAAGCGUGGGGAGCAAACAGG
rnacentral:rRNA from 1 species